GCCAGCGGCGAUAGCACGUUGAAAGCAUCAAUUCUCAAUGGAUCACUGAAGUUGAGCAACGUUGCGCGUGGUUAGUAUCCGGAUGGGUGACCAUCUGGACAAUCAUGAUGUGCUGCAUGCA
rnacentral:rRNA from 1 species